ACUCCUACGGGAGGCAGCAGUGGGGAAUAUUGCACAAUGGGGAAACCGUAGCAUGCAGCCAUGCCGCGUGUGUGAAGAAGGCCUUCGGGUUGUAAAGCACUUUCAGUCGUGAGGAAAGGGUUGUAGUUAAUACCUGCAAUCUGUGACGUUAGCGACAGAAGAAGCACCGGCUAACUCCGUGCCAGCAGCCGCGGUAAUACGGAGGGUGCGAGCGUUAAUCGGAAUUACUGGGCGUAAAGCGUGCGUAGGC
rnacentral:rRNA from 1 species